rnacentral:lncRNA from 1 species
AUUUCUAUUUCUUCUUGAAUAAUUUCCUUAUUUUAGCUAUGAUUUAGUGAUAGUAAGAUGGUAAUUAUGAGGAGAAACUUCUCCCAACACUGCAUUGAGAAAAUUCUGCCUCAUUUCACCACACACCAGAGUCUUAAGCAGUCACUUCUAAUGUAGCUGAACAAUAGAUCCUCACCCACCUGAGUCUAUGAAUUGAAUCCACGUAUGUGAGAUAAGGCCCCCAAGGAGUGGUAGUAAGCUGGGAAUGCCAUCAGCUCAUCUUCCUUCAGGCCUAUAUUUGUCAUUGUCACUUGUAGAAGCAGGACAGCCCUGGCGUUGGGGUUGGUAGAAACAGAGAGUAUCAAAGGGAAAACUGAACUUCCCUAAUUUUUGGAAAACAGCAGAUUGGAGACAGAUGGGCUCCAGCGUUUUCCAUGUGUGAGGUCAUUGUCCCAGGCAGCCUUGCUCAGGACCACAUUUCUUGUCAGCAAAACAGAAGUCAAACGAUAUUUCUACCUUCCAAGAGAAUAGAACAUAAUGUCAGAUUUUCUCAUGGAUUCCCACAGGUUCAAGAAAGUUUCAUGGCCU